rnacentral:rRNA from 1 species
AUGGCGCCGCCGCGUGUGCGGGAGCUGGGGGAGAUGUGCGAGCUCAUGGAGGAGAUCCUGAUCCGCAUCCCGCCGGACGAGCCUGCGGACCUCAUCCGCGCCUCCCUCGUCUGCAAGGCUUGGUGCGGCCUCGUCUCCGGCCACGCCUUCCGCAGCCACUACCGCACCUUCCACAAAACACCUCCCAUGCCUGGCUUCCUACAGAGCUGGGAGAAGGAAGGUCAAAGCUUCGUCCCCACCACAAGAUUCCGUCCCCGCAAUUGCAAGCCGCAGGACAGUUCCGUGCUCGAUUGCCGCCAUGGCCGCGUUCUUCUUAUGUGUUACUACGAUGGGUAUGCGGAUGCGGAUGAGGAUGAGGAGGAGGAAGAUGAUGACGAUGGAGAGGAGGAAGAUUAUUACGACGAAGAUGAUUACGAGGAAUAUGAAGAGAUGGUAGUCUGGGACCCCUUGUCUGGGAGACGAAUGAAGUUGCGCAAUCCUGGCAUCUUCAACCCCCGCAUCAAUCAUGUCUGGAAAGACUAUUCGGCCACGGUGCUCUGUGCGGCGGAUGGCUGCAACCACGAUGCCUGCAACUUGGCCCCAUUUUUGGUGGCGUUUGUCGUCCUUGCAACAUGGAUGACCUUGGCAACAUGGAUGACCGAAAGAAGGAGCUCAGAUUCUCUAGGGUUUGUUGGCUGUGUGGAGGGCACCGAUAUCCUUGUUGUGGCCACAAAUAUUGGUGCAUUCACAAUUGAGCUCAAGUCCUUGAGGUGGAGGAAAUUGUCGACGGUGGCAGGUGUUAUGGAGGUGGCCAAAGAAAGCCAGAUCAGGCAGUGA